GAGUACAAUCCAUAACACGGAAUAUUCUCUCAAUCUCUUUCAACCAUCCCAAGGCUGCAUCUGGAUCAUGCUUUCCUUUAAACACCGGCGGAUUCUCUCUCUGAAAAGUCGCCCAAGCUACGUGAUCCAGCAUCUCCACCAGCAUUUGGCAAGUUCUGCACAGCUUUGUGCCAUUGCUUGCAUUGCGGCAGCCAUUGCAGCG
rnacentral:lncRNA from 1 species